rnacentral:tRNA from 1 species
GAGGGUAUAGCUCAGUGGUAGAGAGUGAGCACGAGGGCCUGGGUUCAAUCCCCAGUACCUCCA